AGUCUUAACCGGGCGUUAAGUUGCAGGGUAUAGACCCGAAACCCGGUGAUCUAGCCAUGGGCAGGUUGAAGGUUGGGUAACACUAACUGGAGGACCGAACCGACUAAUGUUGAAAAAUUAGCGGAUGACCUGUGGCUGGGGGUGAAAGGCCAAUCAAACCGGGAGAUAGCUGGUUCUCCCCGAAAGCUAUUUAGGUAGCGCCUCGUGAAUUCAUCUCCGGGGGUAGAGCACUGUUUCGGCUAGGGGGCCAUCCCGGCUUACCAACCCGAUGCAAACUGCGAAUACCGGAGAAUGUUAUCACGGGAGACACACGGCGGGUGCUAACGUCCGUCGUGAAGAGGGAAACAACCCAGACCGCCAGCUAAGGUCCCAAAGUCAUGGUUAAGUGGGAAACGAUGUGGGAAGGCCCAGACAGCCAGGAUGUUGGCUUAGAAGCAGCCAUCAUUUAAAGAAAGCGUAAUAGCUCACUGGUCGAGUCGGCCUGCGCGGAAGAUGUAACGGGGCUAAACCAUGCACCGAAGCUGCGGCAGCGACGCUUAUGCGUUGUUGGGUAGGGGAGCGUUCUGUAAGCCUGUGAAGGUGGCCUGUGAGGGUUGCUGGAGGUAUCAGAAGUGCGAAUGCUGACAUAAGUAACGAUAAAGCGGGUGAAAAGCCCGCUCGCCGGAAGACCAAGGGUUCCUGUCCAACGUUAAUCGGGGCAGGGUGAGUCGACCCCUAAGGCGAGGCCGAAAGGCGUAGUCGAUGGGAAACGGGUUAAUAUUCCCGUACUUGGUGUUACUGCGAAGGGGGGACGGAGAAGGCUAUGUUGGCCGGGCGACGGUUGUCCCGGUUUAAGCGUGUAGGUGUGUGUUCCAGGUAAAUCCGGUUCACUUUAACACUGAGGCGUGACGACGAGGCACUACGGUGCUGAAGCAACAAAUGCCCUGCUUCCAGGAAAAGCCUCUAAGCAUCAGGUAACAUCAAAUCGUACCCCAAACCGACACAGGUGGUCAGGUAGAGAAUACCAAGGCGCUUGAGAGAACUCGGGUGAAGGAACUAGGCAAAAUGGUGCCGUAACUUCGGGAGAAGGCACGCUGACACGUAGGUGAAGUGAUUUACUCAUGGAGCUGAAGUCAGUCGAAGAUACCAGCUGGCUGCAACUGUUUAUUAAAAACACAGCACUGUGCAAACACGAAAGUGGACGUAUACGGUGUGACGCCUGCCCGGUGCCGGAAGGUUAAUUGAUGGGGUCAGCGCAAGCGAAGCUCCUGAUCGAAGCCCCGGUAAACGGCGGCCGUAACUAUAACGGUCCUAAGGUAGCGAAAUUCCUUGUCGGGUAAGUUCCGACCUGCACGAAUGGCGUAAUGAUGGCCAGGCUGUCUCCACCCGAGACUCAGUGAAAUUGAACUCGCUGUGAAGAUGCAGUGUACCCGCGGCAAGACGGAAAGACCCCGUGAACCUUUACUAUAGCUUGACACUGAACAUUGAGCCUUGAUGUGUAGGAUAGGUGGGAGGCUUUGAAGUGUGGACGCCAGUCUGCAUGGAGCCGACCUUGAAAUACCACCCUUUAAUGUUUGAUGUUCUAACGUGGACCCGUUA
rnacentral:rRNA from 1 species